AAAAAAGGUAAGCUACUAAGAGCGAAUGGUGGAUGCCUUGACUGGUAAAGGCGAUGAAGGACGUACUAGACUGCGAUAAGCUACGGGGAGCUGUCAAGAAGCUUUGAUCCGUAGAUUUCCGAAUGGGGCAACCCAAUGUAUAGAGAUAUACAUUACCUAUAUAGGAGCGAACGAGGGGAAUUGAAACAUCUUAGUACCCUCAGGAAAAGAAAUCAAUAGAGAUUGCGUCAGUAGCGGCGAGCGAAAGCGUAAGAGGGCAAACCCAGUGCUUGCACUGGGGGUUGUAGGACUGCAAUGUGCAAGAGGUGAGUUUAGCAGAACAUUCUGGAAAGUAUAGCCAUAGAGGGUGAUAGUCCCGUAUGCGAAAAACAAACCUUAGCUAGCAGUAUCCUGAGUAGGGCGGGACACGAGAAAUCCUGUCUGAAGCUGGGUCGACCACGAUCCAACCCUAAAUACUAAUACCAGAUCGAUAGUGCACAAGUACCGUGAGGGAAAGGUGAAAAGAACUGAGGUGAUCAGAGUGAAAUAGAACCUGAAACCAUUUGCUUACAAUCAUUCAGAGCACUAUGUAGCAAUACAGUGUGAUGGACUGCCUUUUGCAUAAUGAGCCUGCGAGUUGUGGUGUCUGGCAAGGUUAAGCAAACGCGAAGCCGUAGCGAAAGCGAGUCUGAAUAGGGCGCUUAGUCAGAUGCUGCAGACCCGAAACGAAGUGAUCUAUCCAUGAGCAAGUUGAAGCUAGUGUAAGAACUAGUGGAGGACUGAACCCAUAGGCGUUGAAAAGCCCCGGGAUGACUUGUGGAUAGGGGUGAAAGGCCAAUCAAACUUCGUGAUAGCUGGUUCUCUCCGAAAUAUAUUUAGGUAUAGCGUUGUGUCGUAAUAUAAGGGGGUAGAGCACUGAAUGGGCUAGGGCAUACACCAAUGUACCAAACCCUAUCAAACUCCGAAUACCUUAUAUGUAAUCACAGCAGUCAGGCGGCGAGUGAUAAAAUCCGUCGUCAAGAGGGAAACAACCCAGACUACCAGCUAAGGUCCCUAAAUCUUACUUAAGUGGAAAACGAUGUGAAGUUACUUAAACAACCAGGAGGUUGGCUUAGAAGCAGCCAUCCUUUAAAGAAAGCGUAAUAGCUCACUGGUCUAGUGAUUUUGCGCGGAAAAUAUAACGGGGCUAAAGUAAGUACCGAAGCUGUAGACUUGAUUUUAUCAAGUGGUAGGAGAGCGUUCUAUUUGCGCCGAAGGUAUACCGGUAAGGAGUGCUGGAGCGAAUAGAAGUGAGCAUGCAGGCAUGAGUAGCGAUAAUUAAUGUGAGAAUCAUUAACGCCGUAAACCCAAGGUUUCCUACGCGAUGCUCGUCAUCGUAGGGUUAGUCGGGUCCUAAGUCGAGUCCGAAAGGGGUAGACGAUGGCAAAUUGGUUAAUAUUCCAAUACCAACAUUAGUGUGCGAUGGAAGGACGCUUAGGGCUAAGGGGGCUAGCGGAUGGAAGUGCUAGUCUAAGGUCGUAGGAGGUUAUACAGGCAAAUCCGUAUAACAAUACUCCGAGAACUGAAAGGCUUUUUGAAGUCUUCGGAUGGAUAGAAGAACCCCUGAUGCCAUCGAGCCAAGAAAAGUUUCUAAGUUUAGCUAAUGUUGCCCGUACCGUAAACCGACACAGGUGGGUGGGAUGAGUAUUCUAAGGCGCGUGGAAGAACUCUCUUUAAGGAACUCUGCAAAAUAGCACCGUAUCUUCGGUAUAAGGUGUGGUUCGCUUCGUAUUAGGAUUUACUCCGAAAGCGAAGAAACUUACAACAAAGAGUCCCUCCCGACUGUUUACCAAAAACACAGCACUCUGCUAACUCGUAAGAGGAUGUAUAGGGUGUGACGCCUGCCCGGUGCUCGAAGGUUAAUUGAUGGGGUUAGCAUUAGCGAAGCUCUUGAUCGAAGCCCGAGUAAACGGCGGCCGUAACUAUAACGGUCCUAAGGUAGCGAAAUUCCUUGUCGGUUAAAUACCGACCUGCAUGAAUGGCGUAACGAGAUGGGAGCUGUCUCAAAGAGGGAUCCAGUGAAAUUGUAGUGGAGGUGAAAAUUCCUCCUACCCGCGGCAAGACGGAAAGACCCCGUGGACCUUUACUACAGCUUGACACUGCUAUUUGGAUAAGAAUGUGCAGGAUAGGUGGGAGGCUUUGAGUAUAUGACGCCAGUUGUAUAUGAGCCAUUGUUGAGAUACCACUCUUUCUUAUUUGGGUAGCUAACCAGCUUGAGUUAUCCUCAAGUGGGACAAUGUCUGGUGGGUAGUUUGACUGGGGCGGUCGCCUCCCAAAUAAUAACGGAGGCUUACAAAGGUUGGCUCAGAACGGUUGGAAAUCGUUCGUAGAGUAUAAAGGUAUAAGCCAGCUUAACUGCAAGACAUACAAGUCAAGCAGAGACGAAAGUCGGUCUUAGUGAUCCGGUGGUUCUGUGUGGAAGGGCCAUCGCUCAAAGGAUAAAAGGUACCCCGGGGAUAACAGGCUGAUCUCCCCCAAGAGCUCACAUCGACGGGGAGGUUUGGCACCUCGAUGUCGGCUCAUCGCAUCCUGGGGCUGGAGCAGGUCCCAAGGGUAUGGCUGUUCGCCAUUUAAAGCGGUACGCGAGCUGGGUUCAGAACGUCGUGAGACAGUUCGGUCCCUAUCUGCCGUGGGCGUAAGAAGAUUGAAGAGAUUUGACCCUAGUACGAGAGGACCGGGUUGAACAAACCACUGGUGUAGCUGUUGUUCUGCCAAGAGCAUCGCAGCGUAGCUAAGUUUGGAAAGGAUAAACGCUGAAAGCAUCUAAGCGUGAAGCCAACUCUAAGAUGAAUCUUCUCUAAGCUCUCUAGAAGACUACUAGUUUGAUAGGCUGGGUGUGUAAUGGAUGAAAGUCCUUUAGCUGACCAGUACUAAUAGAGCGUUUGGCUUAUCUUUAAUAAAGCAU
rnacentral:rRNA from 1 species